AUGGAGGGGGAAGGGAUAUGGGAAGGUCAGGGAAGGGACAUGAGAAGGUCAGGGAAGGGACAUGGGAAGGUCGAGGUAAAAAACACACCUUAAUUAAGUCAUUUUAGUUAGUAGAAAAUUUUGAAAGUAUCAUAUUGAUUUUCUUAGUUGGAAAUUAAAUUAAAUUCUAAUAAGAGAAAUAAGUUGCAAAUCACUAUUAAUAAAUCAUCUCACCAUCAUAAGGAUAACUAUUAUUCACCUUUUGCUUCCUCAAAAAAGUAGUUUUUGGCCUUGUUUCCACAUUUGUCCUAUUGUGCUUGAGUUCCGCCUCUUGGAGAUCCCAUCCCUUUGAGAUCAUAUGUAGGAUUCUUAUUUCCACUGUCUUUUUGUAUGUGAAUGGCAUCAUCCUCCAUCUAUUUAACAUAUGUCUCUUUGGUGUCUAAGGUCAUAUUGUUUUUAUUAUAUGUUGUAUUAGGUUGCUUUCUCGGAGGAACUAGUAGGAAUAGAAGGAGAAGGGAAAGCGAAAAAGAAAAUGAAAAUUUUCCUUCACCAGUUGUUGCUCUGAAAAAAAAAAAUAAUAAGAGAUUGAAGCUUGUUGUACAAAAUUUAUAGUUGGUCAUUCCCUAUUUGUGUGAGGGGGAGAAAAAUUCUGUUAUAAAAUUUUUUUCUCUAAAUUUUAUUUUUCUGUGCUAUCCCACUUAAUGAGACAUAACCCGAGGAUAAUAACCUUUCCAAAAAGUAGUUACUCAUUUCCCAAAGUUUUCUCCCACUUAAGCAACCAAAAAAUUGCAUCUCCUAUCUUUUGUUUGAUUUUCCUCUCUCACGCUAACAAAACAUAGCUUUAUGAUCAGAGGAUGAACUAACAAGCCUUUGUCCCCACCCCCAACCCUUUUAUUUUUCUUCUUUUUAGGUCCCUAUUGUAGUAUGUGGCUAAGAUGCAGACAGAGUCGAGUUUGAAAUAAAAAAUCCAGCUAGCUCUAGGUUUAAUAUCCACUCUUUCCCCCAAUACCUGUUUCAUCCACUUUCUCCUUGACUAAUUCAUGCUAUAUAAAAUCAAAAGAUGACUUGUAAUGCCAUGACCCAAACCUAGAUACAGGUAAGGGUACAGUCCACGCAAGGCAGCUUUUCUUUUGGCCCCAAGCUUUAAUUCCAAACUUUUAAGCUUCCCUAAAUUAUCUCCUUAUCUACAAGAAGCCUUUGCCACAAGAAGUAUUUCAGCCAAUACAGCUGUCUGUUGGGCCCCACUAGAUUGUUAUAAAUUCUGGGAAAUAAAUCGACGCAAGCUGUACAAAAAGAAAAUUCUGGAAGUUCACAUUCGCAGGUGGAAUAUACCCAUACAGAUGACAUAAAUAGGAAUUAAUUGGACUGCAAAGUUGAACUAAAUGUGAGCCAACUUUAGAGUUCCAAUUAUGGACUUACCAAUGAUGGACUGAAUCUACAUCAUAGUGAGGAGAUGAUGCUGUCUUUUCAAUCAACAACAACAAACAACAUCAACUCAACCUUCUCCCAACUAGAUGGGGUUGGCUGAAUGGAUCCAUGAGAGAGUAAAAAUAUUUAAAAAAAAAAAAAAAAAAAAAAAAAAAAAGAACACAGCUACACCUCAGCGAAUCCCAUCUAAAUGGAGUCGGCUACAUGGAUCCUUACCUUCUAAACAGCUCUAUUUAAAGUAAUAAUCGAUUCAAGACCUAAACCAUGCAUGUCUUUCCUCAUUACUUUUCCCAUGGUCAUUUUGGCCUACCACUAGCUCUUCUAGAUCCUUUAAUCGAAAUGGAACCACUCCGCCUUACUGGAAGCAUCCCAAGGCCUUUGUUGAACAUGGUUGUUCCAACUCAAAUGACUUUCUCAGAGCAUGUCAUGAAUCGGUGCCACUCCUAAAUUAGCUCUAACAUAGUCGUUGUCUUUUAAUGUGGUGAUCAAAAUUCGUAUAGAUGUUUUCGCAUCUCCAGUUUCUCUUGCUAUAAAAGUAGCGUUUGAAGUUUCUCCCCUUACAUUAUUGUGUUAAGGAAGUACCUAAAUGAUAUGUGAGAGAACCCAAUAAGUGCAUAAAGAGGGAUCUUACUUAAACCUACUUGUAUAAAUCGCUUGUAGAUACCCCUUCCCACUCUUGUACAAUUCUAUAUUAUUGUGUUAAGGAAGUACCUAAAUUAUAUAUAAGAACCCAGUAAGUGCAUAAAGAGGGAUCUUACUUAAACAUAUCUGUAUAAAUUUCUUGUAGAUACCGCUUCCCACUUUUGUAGCAUUGUUUUUAUAUUUUCCUCUCUGUUAUAUUGCUUAAAUUGCAUGUAUGAUCAUAGUGUUUGUAAGUUUUUAUUUUCCUUGGGUGUAACAUAUCACAAUGUUAGUUUGAAAAUGCAUUUCUCAAUGUGUGGAGCUAAUAGUAUUAACUUGUCCACAAUAGGUGCCAUCAAUGAAUUUUUACUGCAGCCAUGCUUAACAGCAAUGUAAUCAUGGUUAUGCUUAUUGUUUACUUUUUAUUCUUUAUCAAAUAUGUCUUAUUACAUAGUUUGAAUUUUGUAGAAAAACCAUUUGUUUGGUCCUUCGGCUCGUUGGUUGAACCAAGUCGAUAUGGUUGCAAUGAUAACAGCUACGGAAUUACAAAUAUGUGCUAAGACUUCCGUGUAUGAGGUGUAAAUUCCAAUCCCAUAGCAGAUACUAUAACUGACAAGCUAAUAUGUUGUACGUUGGAAUAUCACCAAGUCUAUCUAGUAACAUCAUGUGCUGAUUAUUACAGUAAAGAUCAUAACCCGUGCCUGGUAGUAAACCUGAGUCAUGUCAGUUAUUUUAUAAUUCACAAGUGUGGAAUUCUAUGGCGAUAUCGGCCGUUAGUUCCAAAAGAACAAAUGAGGAAGUAUUGAUGUUUUUCAUGUAUUAGGAAGAAAGAGUGGUAUCUGUAAGCCGACAUCUGCAGUAAUGUGCCACUCCAAGGAAUCCGACAAGGAGAGGUAACCAGGUUGGAUCGGAAUACGGUGUUAAGUUGUGCCUGUCCAAUAUGACCUGCACGUUGAGUAAUAAAACACCCAAAGAUUGGCACUGGAAAUUUUAUCUUGUCAAGCAGUUGACAUAGCUGCCCAUUUUAGUACUUUAGAAGCAUUAGAUUUCCUCAUUCUUUACUUUCCUUCCAUUUUGGGUCUAUUUGGUUGGAGGGGAAGAGAAAUUGGUGAUCAAAUGCUGUGGGUGUUGGCGGGGCUGCUACCUGAUGAUGGUACUAUUUCUGUCCAAGGACUGCUGCUGCUACCUACUGCUGUCCAUGAAGCUCAGGGCUGCAAACAAGCAAAAUCAGAGAGCUGGACGGCUGUCCAAGCAUGGGAAUUGCUGUUGGAACCUCCCUACUGCUAUAUCUGCAAAAUUAAGCUGCAGUGUUGGAUGUGCAUCAUUUCCAUUAUGUGACAGGGUGGCAAGCAAAUGUCUUAAUUUUGACUUGGUUGAAUUGAAUUGUAUAUUUGUCAUAGUUUUGAACGCCAGAUGGCCACUGAACUGUCAAAAUGGCAAGUUUUGGAGAAACCGGUCUAACCCUUUUAUUUUUAUCCAGCAAGCCAAAAACUUGGAAAAAUUGCUGGUUUAAAUAGUUCGUUUGGACCUCUUUCUAAAAUCUAUCCAGUUUUUUCCACCUAUUGUUUGGCUAUAGGGUCAAAUUUGAUUUUGUUUCGGAUCAGAAUGUGAUGUUAUCUAGUUCGGAUCGGAAUGUGAUGUUAUCUUGUUAAUGUUCCAACUGGUUUAAUUGGCUGGUCCAUUUCUAAAGCUGCAACAUUAAUAGAGUCAAGUUAUUUUUAUCUAGGUUAGGAAUUAAAACUGCCACAAUGUGGUCUACCUUAUGAGAGUAUUUUGAGAAAUUUUAUUUUAGGGCUGGGGGAAUGGUUUUAGCAACAAUUUCCAGAGUUUUCAUUCAACUUCAUUUCAAAAUGUAUAGUCUCUUCAAAAUUUAAUUAUAGGGCACCGAAUGUGUGUUUUGAAGAUGAUGAUACCGUUGUCAACCUUGAAACUGAAUUAGAAAGAAGUAGAAGGACUACAUGCAGUUGUUGUGGGAUCAAAGGUGCUGCUCUUGGGUGUUAUGAGCUUUUGCAAAGUUAGUUCCACAAUGUCGAUGGGAUGAUGUAAGUUCAGUUUGCUUGAUAAACUACAGACUUGUAUUUAUUUUAAAAAAUGGUAUUGUACUGAUACUUGUAGAUCAGUAAGGAUUGAAAGGUGCGUAUUUCCUUCAAGCGGAGAACUUUGUGAUUCUAUGCCCUCUUCUUCAUACUUCUAAAUUGCCUUGUGAAACUUCUGGACCUCAAGAGAAAAGUAGAAAGAGGUCUAUUCCAAAAGGGUGGUUGUGCUUGGAUAUUCUGCUUGUAUUUUUUUUUCUACAUUUGUUUUUUCAGGUAUAAUCUUGAAGCAUGCCUGAAAUUAAGUAUUAGCUUACAAGAUGUUAUCUGGUUGAAAUGUACAUAGAAUCCCAUGCCUGUAAAACCAAAGUACCAGUUAAACAUGGUUAGCCAGCAAUGAAAGCAUUCUGGAUCUUCUAACAAAUGUAUUCUUUGUUGCUCAACCUUUGUUGUUGCAGAGAAGAUAAUUCAAAAUAAAUUGAGUAGACCUUGGUUGGGACACUGACAAAUCCUUAAGAAAAAUAUUAACAAUUGGAACCACAGGAAACUGUCUCUGAGUUUGAAAAAUUGGCUGGUAUUUCGGUGGCUAAGACCUGGUGUUCCAGCAUCACCUAUGUCAUUGCAUCUGCAGAUGAGAAUGGAGCUUGCAGGAGAACUUUAAAAAUUUUGACUGGGGUCUUGUAGGGAAAAUGGAUAAUGGAGAUAGUCAGUAAGCAGCAUUGUUUCUGUAGACAGAUUUGUCAUACUUUACCAUUCUAUUUAUAUGUUUCGAAAGAGUUAUUCUGAUAUAGUUCAUAUAACUUAUAUUUUGUAUGCAAAAUUAAGGCUUGCAUGGACACAUUGGGAUCUGUUAACAAAGUUCAAUAUGAAAUCAGUGUGGACAUCCAUGGAAUAAGGGAUGGCCCUCAGUCGGGAAGGUAUGUAUCUUCUUGUAGAGAAAUUACUGUUACAGGUCUGUUGGGCUAGAAUUUAGUUCUUUUGAUUGCAAUUACUGCUGCAAAAAACAACUUUCAAGCUUCAAAAAACCCAAAAUUGGCUGGUGGAUGACAGUAUUUUUUUCCAUAAGGCCUUUGUUGAGAUCUUUAAGAUUUUGACAUGGAAGUCCUGAAUUUCGUUAAUUGAAUAUUUAGAUUAUUAGAAGUUAUGGAACAACCUUAGAAAUAUUUUUUUUUCUACUGUUUCUACUUUCUACAUAGGACAUUUCAGAUAUCAAAAAAACAUUUUUUGAAAAAUAGAGGACAAGAAAAAAAUAUAAAAAAAUAACCAAGAAAAGGGUUGGAAAAAGAAAACAUUGCUAAAACAGAAUACUGGUUAGUUAGAGCUGAUUGUUUCUGCCUUUUAAAUGGUAAGGUAACAUAACAGCAAUUAUUACUUGAAUCAAUUUCUCUGCCCUUAUAAUGCGAUCGAGAGGGAAAAAUAAGAAAGAACCGUUCUUCUCUCUUCCGGAUUCGAAUUACAGAGGGAGAUGUGCAAGUCCCAGCGUAUCAUUUGAAUGGUUUUUUCAAUAAGAUAGGGAUUGGAAACCGACAUGACUAUUGAAAGGGAGUCCCUCUAGGCCUCUACUUCCUCCCUCCCAUCAGGGUUUUAAAAAAGGAAUCAGGUUCGAAUCGGUCCGAUCCAACCAAUUCUAAGCUAUUUGUAGGAGAAAAUGGGAUCAGCUUUUGGAUUUGGGAAUUGACUCAAGAAUUGAUCAGAUUCAAGUUGAAAUAUGAUAGAUAGUGUAAUGUAACAGAAAUUUUUACUUGGGCUUAGGUGAAUUUACAUAAUGGCAGAUAAGCCCAAUAAUGCAUUUUCACAGUACCUUAUGCAGUCAAGACAUACUGGAGAGUUUGUUUAUGUUCUGAAUAUUAGCCUUCUAGCUUCUUAUUAUGUGGCAGGCCAAAUCCCAUGGUGGAAAUUCUAUUAAUAUUUCUAAUCCACCUAAUGAAGCUAAAGAGGAUGAAUGUCAAGUGGAAAUUAUUAUUGAAUACUUACCAAAGGAGACCCAGGUAGGUCUGCCUGUCGGCAUACUUCUAUUAUAAAUUAUCAGUUUACUAGUUUCUUGGAUUCUGGCAGAUCAUGGUUUCAUUGAUAGCAGUAAUUUCCUACUAGCUAUUAUGUAUCAACAAUGGUAUUCUUCCACUAAGUUCUAAUUGUUUCAACUAUCUUCUCUCCUGCUAGGAAGGAUCAUUUUGCUUGAUUGUCUCUGAAUUUAUGUACAAGCCAUGAAAGUUUGCACAAAACUAACUGAAAAUAGUGCAUCUUCGAUGAAUGGAAACUAAUGCACUCCAUCAAUCACCAUUGUAGCUGCUGAGACUCUUGAAUUAUGUGUGACAGAAUUCCUUAAAGAGCAGAUCAGUUCUUACUUCACAUUAAAGCUUCUUAGGAUUUUUUGGUACAUCAUCCUCAAUGUCAGGGGACUUGACAAAACUGAGAAUGACCAUACAUCUCACGGAUCCCUCAUAUUGCUGGUUCUCAAAUACAUAAGGGGGAUGCAGAGUUGGAGUUCAUUAAGCAUGUCUGCGCUGUUCUUGCUCUGGUUAUAAAAUACAUAAAUGGGAUGCAGCAUUGGAUUUCAUUAAGCAUGCCUGUGUUCAGUUGCUAAAACAGUCUGCAAACCCUUUUAUUUCUCUGCAACCAUAGAUUGAGGAAAGAACAAGCAUGCUUAAUGAACUCUAUUACAAGAACAUGAAAGGGAUGAAAGUUAAGCAGUUAGUCAGAGAAAAAGAGAAGUGCGACAGAGAUAUGUCGGUCUAUUACGAAUCACCUAUUUGAGUUCAGUGUUUUUAGUAUCUCUCUCUCUCUCUCUCUUACACACACACACACACACACACAUAGUCACACACCCCUGAAGUCACAAAAACCCAAAACAAUUCUACAGUCUUGGCAAAUCAUAGCGUAAGCCUUAGUUAUGUUUCUUUGCCUACCACACGCCCCUUUCAUAUUUCUAUGAGCCAGCAGGAAAUGGUACUCAGACGGUGGUUUGUUCAUGUGCAAGAGGUGAAACUUGGUAUUUAUGUCACAUACAAUGGUGAUUUCUUUUACUAGCUAUUCUUGGAAGGUAGAACAGUUUAUAAUGGAAUUAUAAUGAGCGACCCAUAUGUUGUUAACCUUUUUUAUUUGCCUCAAAUUAUUCAGCCGAGAGAGAGAGAGAGAGAGAGAGAGAGAGAGAGAGAGAGAGUGAGUGAGAGAGAGAGAGGUUCUCUGAUCUAUCAGUGUUCUUCUUACUUGUGUUUUCUUUGAGGUUCUCUGAUUUUCUAGAGCUGUGUGGAGUUACAAAUCUUUCUUUUCAUAUUGUUCUUAUAAAUAUUUUUUAUUGAUAAAAAUGUUUUUUAAUCUGUGCUAAGAAAAAUAUUUUUUUCUUUUCAUUUUCAAUUUGUUUGGGUUUUGAAUAUGUCACAUUUUGACCUCUUUAUUUCACAUUGUCCAAUGGGGUUCUCUUCUGAUUGGCAGAGGAUGCCCUUGCCUGGAAACAUAGCACAACCAAUUUUAUUUAGUAUUUUUAGUCAGCUACCUUUAUUAAGUCAUAUCCAUAUUUAUGUUUCCUAACAUAACAUAGCAAGACCAAUUUUUUAAUAUCUCAUGAUAUAUGUGACUUAGUGAUAUUUGUCUUGGUCAAUUUUUUGAAGAUGUUGUGGAUCAUUGGGGUUGCUGGCACAGGUAACAAAUCAGCGAUGUGCCAUAGUAUUUAUCAAAGUGGUUGAUAGAAACAUUCAUACAGUUAGUUUUGUAAUUCCGUAUUAUGAUUUUAUGAUUAUUACUUGAAUUGUUUGGCCCUUAAAUCUUAAUGAACUAAUCAAGAAUGCCACAUUUUUUUCAGUGUGUGGGGGAGGACAUUGAAAAUUUGGAGUAUACACCAAAACCAGAUUAUAAAGGGCAAUUCAAUGUGAAAAUGAGGUAACGGGAUUUCAUUAAUUGGUUGUUUGAUAUGUGUUCAGACUUUAGAUAACAUUAGGUUUGCCAUUGUGUAUAUAUAUUAUUAUCAUAUCUUACCCUUUUAUAUUUCUAUGAGCUUGCCUGAAGAACUCCUUAGAUAGUGGUUUGUUCACGUGCAAAGGUGAAACCUUGUAUAUAUGUUACAUACAACGUUGAUUUCUUUGACUGGCCAUUCUUAGUUACAAGCUAUUACUCCAUUUAACAUUAGUAAUGUUUCACUACCUACCACACGCACCCAACAAAAAAUAAUGUUCAUAGUUAUUUUUCUCAAACACCUUACAUGAAUGCUGCUUUUGUUUUAGCCCUCUAUUAUUACUUCAAUUCUUCAUAUCUUACAAAAUAUUACACUGUACAAUGUAUCUUUUGUUUCUUGUUUUGACUAAACUCUGUUGGAUAUGAAAAGUAAACAUACUGUGCAUGGGUUUAUUUUGGACUGUUUCAUUAAACUCAAAUUAAAUGAUAUAAGCUCAUCUCAUCAUUGUAAUAUUUUGGAAUCCUGAUUGCUUACAUCCUGCUAAUCUGCUUCUAUUUGGUUAAAUCAUAUGGUCGGCUGAUACCUCAUUGUAUAUUUUAAUUUCCCGCUUCUCACUAGGAGAUACAUGUGAGUAUAUCUACUAGUAAAGGUUAAUUAAUCAAUUGAUGUUGCAAUUGUCUACUUACAAAAUUAUGGGAAUAGUUUUCAAUUUGAGUAAUCCGUUUUCACUUGCCACUCCUAGAUGAUGCAAUAGCAGGAGCCUUGUGCAUUUGGUUGCUCUUUUUUAUUAUUAUUAACAAUUUGUUGCAACAUCAAGAUUAAUUAAUAUGUUGAUGUUGCAACUUGCUACUUACAAAAUAUGGAUAAAUAUUAGUUGCCUUUGUUUCCUCAAAAAAGUAGUUACUUUGUUUUUGGUCUUAUUUCCACAUUUGUCCUUUUGUGUUAGUUCCACCAUUUGGAGAUACCAUCCCUUUGAGAUCAUAUGUUGGAUUCUUAUUUCCACUCUUUUGUAUGUGAAUGGCAUCAUCCUCCAUCUCUUUAACAUAUGUCUCUAUGGUGUCCAAGGCAUUGAGGCCCCAAAGUUGUGCUUUUUGCAAAGUGCAUGCCUGUGUUGCUUUCCUUUAUAUGGCUAUAUGCUGAACCUGUAAAGGUGGUGGGAUUAGAUUCCAAAAGCAAAUCAAUUAGCAGUUUUUGGGGGAAGGUUGGGGAUCCCUGUUGUAUGUGGGCCAUUGAACCAGAUGAAUGUACCGACCACAAUAUCCAGUUUACCUGCUCUUAUCUAGUCCUAGUUGAAGGCUCUUCUUUCCCCAAAAACCACUACGUUAUUGAUGAUAGGACUAGCCUUAAGAAUUUGAUAAUAUGUUCUUUAGCAAUAUUUGAGUUUAAAUUCUGUUAUAAAUCAAUGACCCUGUUAGUAAUCUAAAAGUUUGACUCGUUAUACAUUGACUAUUAUUUAUCAUAUGUAACUCUCCUUGUCCUCAAACCUCACUUUUCUUAAAAAGUAAAAAAAUAAACAGGAAAUUUAGUCCCCCUCCCCCUUCUCCUUGUUUUGUUUUGGGCAUAUUCACAGACCACUUACAUAUUGGUUACUAAUGCUUUUGAGAGUCAAAAGAAUGGGGUUUUCAUACAACUUUGUUUCUCUUAUCUUAUAUCUGGUAUUUCUGUUAAAACAUGCCAUUUGCUAUCAAUCAUGUUGAUGAACUUACCACUUUUUAACUGCAUGUAAGCUUAGCCUGGCCUUCAACACUAAAAUCUUUUCCUAGGCUUGAAUUAGGCUGCUUGCAUGUUGCUAUAAGGAGAGUGGUGGAGCUCUGCUUUAGUGGUAGUCUUUUUGGAUUUAUCAUCUGUACUUUGUUAUGCAGGUGAAGGCUCUUAUUCAUGUUCAGUCUACUAGUAGUGUUGAUGACUUGUUUCUUUGUCAGUAGCCAGUUGUGUAGGCAUAUACUCAGUUAUUUUAUAAUUUUUGUUGCAUCAGGAUGGGUCUACUUUCAAUUCUAAGUAAAAGUGUCCUUAUUUCUAUGUUGCCACGAAGAUAUAUUUCAAUAUAGGGGUUAUAAAAACAAAACCAGAAAACUGAUGUAAAGGUAGGAAAAUGAGAAGCAAGAAAUCAGUCUCACUUACAAUGGACUGUUAGUCAGGUUUUUUUAUUUUUUUUUCUCUUCCCAUUUGUUAGUUAAAUUCAUUUUCCAGAAAACCCAAAGCAUACUUGUUAAUAUUGCAGGAAAAUAUAGAAAUAGUUGUUGUGGCAAAUCUGAGGUGACAAUAUGAUGGACAGAAUGCUGAUAUUGAAAUUAUGGAGAAAAAGGAUCUUGAUCUUUUAAUUUGUUCCUUCUUCAACCUCAUUAGAAAUAUUUCUCCUUUGGAGAUCUACUUAAUAAUUUGCUUCAUUGAAGUACAAGUUUACAAAUCGUCCACUUUUCAUCAUUGAAUUUGUGGUUCACUAAUCAUCAAUGUUUCAUCUGUAUUCCCUGUGAGGUAUCUUUUUUAUUUUUGUGUUUAUAUUUGUAUGCACAGUCAUUUGGAAAAUAAUUAUCGCUAUAGAAUAUUGAUCGCUUGUGGAAUAGGUGGUGGCAAUACCUUGCAGGUGUUGUUUUUGUAAGAAUGAGUAACGAAAGAGAACUCAUGGAAAUGGGAGUAUGAGGAUAGAAGACCAUAGGUUGGGAUCGUUUGUCCCAAUCUUUCA